GACGAACGCUGGCGGCGUGCUUAACACAUGCAAGUCGAACGGAAAGGCCCUGCUUUUGUGGGGUGCUCGAGUGGCGAACGGGUGAGUAACACGUGAGUAACCUGCCCUUGACUUUGGGAUAACUUCAGGAAACUGGGGCUAAUACCGGAUAGGAGCUCCUGCUGCAUGGUGGGGGUUGGAAAGUUUCGGCGGGUGGGGAUGGACUCGCGGCUUAUCAGCUUGUUGGUGGGGUAGUGGCUUACCAAGGCUUUGACGGGUAGCCGGCCUGAGAGGGUGACCGGCCACAUUGGGACUGAGAUACGGCCCAGACUCCUACGGGAGGCAGCAGUGGGGAAUAUUGCACAAUGGGCGGAAGCCUGAUGCAGCAACGCCGCGUGCGGGAUGACGGCCUUCGGGUUGUAAACCGCUUUCGCCUGUGACGAAGCGUGAGUGUCGGUAAUGGGUAAAGAAGCACCGGCUAACUACGUG
rnacentral:rRNA from 1 species